rnacentral:rRNA from 1 species
GAGACUGCCGGUGUUAAACCGGAGGGAGGUGGGAUGACGUCAAGUCCUCAUGGCCUUUAUGCCCAGGGCUACGACACGUGCUACAAUGGGUGGUACAAAGAGAUGCAAUCUCGCAAGAGCAAGCAAACCUCAAAAAGCCAUCCUCAGUUCGGAUUGGAGUCUGCAACUCGACUCCAUGAAGUCGGAAUCGCUAGUAAUCGCGGAUCAGCACGCCGCGGUGAAUACGUUCCCGGGCCUU